GAUCCUUCUUCACUAKAUUGUCACGCAUUCCUUGUCAUGAAAAAUAACCAGACAGUUUUGCGAGUUUGGCGCUGUGCUGUUUGCAAAUCCGAGUCAUUUAGAAUCGAGGUUUUGUAUUUUGYAUUAGCUUGAAUGAAAAACGCAUUUUAUUAUCCAGCUUUUAUCAUUAGCAUUUCUAGCURUCGGAAAUAGUUGAGUUUUGACGUCAACUUCGCUAAACACGUAACUUGUUACYCUUGUUGUGGGCGACCACGUAAACGAGCUUACUCAUCGAUUUAAAAAGAUGUGUGGACGAACGGCAUGCAACCUCGACCCAGACGGUGUUGCAAAGUGUUGCCGAUUUAGAAGCAGUAAAAAUGGCAAMAUGCAAACUCCGAGAUGGAA